GGACGGUGCUGGACAGGCCUCCAGAAGCUCCGCCUGUCGUCCUCGCGUGGGAAUUUAGCCGGGGCAGAAAGUGCACCUGUGCGACAGCCACCCGUCCAAGGAGGAGGGCUUCCCCAGUACCCCCAGGCUUCCCCUGUGCGUCUCCCCGUCACUCCGCCCAGGAAGCGCAGUCCUGACGAUACACUACGCGCUGCGGCAGCCAGCUGGGGCAGGUCUGCUUGGAGCCAGGAGAAACCACCAGGAAAUUCCCUGUAUAUUGUAAUGUGUGACAGCAGCGUCUAAUUAAUCAUCAACCCUGUGAUAUGAUCUCCACCCAUAAAAAAGAGACCCAUUGAGGCUUUGGAAACCUGAGCCCUGGCCUCUGUCAGAUUGCUCCCUAUUGACUGAGGACCUGUGCCUGAGGACCCUGGGAUGAUGGGUGCCCACCUCUGCUCCGAGGCUGCUCUGCCCAGCACGGGUCCCACCCCUGCCAGCCUGGCCUGGCUGCCCAGGAAACAGGGAGGGGCCGGAGCAGUAGGCCCGGAAGGACGCAUGUCUGCUGGUCACCAAGGACCACAGGGCAAGCGGGACACACUCCAGGUCCCUGACUCCAGAGGGUCAGUUCCGAUUCCCACAGGGGCCCUCAGGGUGGCACCAGGUUGGGGGCAUUGUUUCAGGGAUCUCCCCUUGAUGAGGGCAGCAGCGAGGAACAGGGCUCUGGCAUACCCGAGGGACAGGACGGGUGACACGGGGAAGGGCUCUGCGAGGGCCAGUGCAGAGGUCCCUGCACCUGCCACUCGGGCCUUGUAAGCUCAUUUCCAGUAGCUUACCUGUGGCUGGUGGGGUCAGGGAUGCAUCCCCCGUGCCUGAUCCGAUGCAGCUCCUCCAGACCUCAGGACUGAGUGAGGGGACGGAUGCCCAGCAGGCACUUCCCUUCAUGCUGCUAAGCAGAUGCCUACGGGAAGUCUCUCUGGACCUUGGCUGGACUCUGCUCUGGCUCCCAGCGCACUGAUCUCAGACCUUUCUCCAGCCCCAGCCCUGCACCACUGUGGGGAGCUGCUGAGACCCUUUCUGCUCCAGGACCAGGAGUGCUCCCUGGGGAAGGGGGCGGGCUUCACAGGCGCCGCAGACUCCCCAAGGGAAAUGAGGCCAGAGAGGCAGGGGAACAGGGCCACCUCAGCCAGCUUCUAGGCCAGGCCGGGCGAGAACAGUAAGCAUCGAAGAUGCCCGGAUGCAGCGCACCUUUCUGUCACAGCCAGUAAUUUCCACCCUAGGCCUGGGUUUAAGACAGGGCCUCAACGCGCAGGCACUGCUGUCCCUUGGUUUAAGGCCCGGGGGUCACGGUGAGAGUCAGACCCAGGACAGGUGAAGCGGGCUCCCCACCCGCUCCACACACAUCUCUGGGGGAUCCUGGGGCAGGGGGAGGUGGCCCGGUGGAUCGGGUCCCCAGGGGUCAGGAUGGCCCGCGGCGCCAGGGCCAGGCUGUGCGAGGUUUCCCUAAGGAGACCAAGUCCGGACCGACCCAGGCUCACGUGCCCCUCGUCCCCACCCUGUCCCG
rnacentral:lncRNA from 1 species